rnacentral:rRNA from 1 species
AAUCAACGCUGGCGGCGUGCCUAACACAUGCAAGUCGAACGCGAAAGUGGAGCAAUCCAUGAGUAGAGUGGCAAACGGGUGAGUAACACGUGGGUGACCUGCCUUCGGGUGGGGGAUAACCUUCCGAAAGGAGGGCUAAUACCGCAUGACAUACCGUGUUUGGAUACACGGAUAUCAAAGCCGGGGAUCGCAAGACCUGGUGCUUGAAGAGGGGCCCGCGUCCGAUUAGCUAGUUGGUGAGGUAACGGCUCACCAAGGCUCCGAUCGGUAUCCGGCCUGAGAGGGCGGACGGACACACUGGAACUGAGACACGGUCCAGACUCCUACGGGAGGCAGCAGUGGGGAAUAUUGGACAAUGGGCGAAAGCCUGAUCCAGCCAUGCCGCGUGUGUGAAGAAGGUCUUCGGAUUGUAAAGCACUUUAAGUUGGGAGGAAGGGCAGUCAGUUAACACCUGGUUGUUUUGACGUUACCAACAGAAUAAGCACCGGCUAACUUCGUGCCAGCCGCCGCCGUAAAAC